rnacentral:lncRNA from 1 species
CUUGACCAAAAGAGUAGUGCUAAGAACUGCUGCCCGUUUCUAUGAUCCAUUGGGUCUUAUUGCACCCAUAAUUGUUGUUGUGAAAAUUAUGUUUCAGCAACUUUGCAAGGAUAACCUUCAGUGGGAAGAUGAACUUGACCAACCGUUCCAAGAUAAAUGGCAUAACUUUCUAAGCAAUCUUAAGCAAGUUCAAGAAUUAUCUGUAGACCGCUGUUAUGCCAAAGAAUUCGAUCAUCAAACUGUCCCAUCAGUCGAGCUACAUGGCUUUGGAGAUGCCUCAAACGAAGCAUACGGUGCCUGCAUUUACAUCCGCUGCGAAAGUGGCUCCGAAACACACUGCCAAUUAGUUACUUCCAAAACACGAGUUUCUCCGAAGAAAUCACAAACUAUACCAAGACUCGAACUGUUGGCAUGUCUUCUUACAGCGAGAUUAAUAACCCAGGUUCAAGAAGCUUUAAGGUGUGUUUUGCGAAUCGACAAUCGAUACUGUUGGUUAGAUUCUAGUGUUGCGUUAGCGUGGAUACGGUCGACAUCAAAGGAAUACAAACCGUUUGUACAAAACCGAGUGAAUGAAAUUCGAAAGCUGAUUCCACCGCAAUGUUGGAGAUAUUGCCCAACUUCAUGCAACCCUGCAGACACCGCAUCAAGGGGAUGUAAACCCACAUAUCUCGUCAAUGAUGCAAGAUGGUGGAAAG